rnacentral:rRNA from 1 species
AUUGAACGCUGGCGGCAGGCUUAACACAUGCAAGUCGAGCGGGGAAGAGUAGCUUGCUACUUUACCUAGCGGCGGACGGGUGAGUAAUGCUUAGGAAUCUGCCUAUUAGUGGGGGACAACAUCUCGAAAGGGAUGCUAAUACCGCAUACGUCCUACGGGAGAAAGCAGGGGACCUUCGGGCCUGGCGCUAAUAGAUGAGCCUAAGGCGGAUUAGCUAGUUGGUGGGGUAAAGGCCUACCAAGGCGACGAUCUGUAGCGGGUCUGAGAGGAUGAUCCGCCACACUUGGACUUAGAAACGGCCCAGACUCCUACGGGAGGCAACAGUGGGGAAUAUUGGACAAUGGGGGGAACCCUGAUCCAGCCAUGCCGCGUUGGUGAAGAAGGCCUUUUGGUUGUAAAGCACUUUAAGCGAGGAGGAGGCUACCGAGAUUAAUACUCUUGGAUAGUGGACGUUACUCGCAGAAUAAGCACCGGCUAACUCUGUGCCAGCCGCCGCAGUAA